ACUCACUCUUUUCACUGUCUAAGUCUGAUACUUCUUGAGAUAUUUAAAGUGUUUCUAGUUUGGAAUUAAUUGGCUAAGAAUUUAUGAUUGUUUCUCAACUUUAUUUUCUUGUCGACAUUUUGGGUUUAGAUGUUACUUAGACUUGAUUAUCUGGUGUUGGUAACACUCUUUUAUUGGCUGCUGACCCAUUUUCAAAAAUUUCCCCGUGCUCUGCUGUUUCUCAGCUCUUCAGGCUGGAGAAAUGCCCAGAAGGAGACUCAGGGUGCUGUUGCGCAAGCAUAAACCCUCAUGUGAAGACCUACUUGUGUAAAGACCUUGAAUCUACCUGUGCAAGUCCACCAAGCAAGGUCACAGGACAAGGAAACAGACACUCCUACUUAACUGAGGACUGGGAGAAACCCAGAAAAUAUUUGUCUGCUGUAUCAAGUCACCACUUCAAAUAAUCUCUUCUCCUUUGUCUUGUGGAACUGCCAGUCUGCAGUCAACAAAGCAGACUUUAUUCCAGUUUUCGCCACCCAAAGGAGUCUCCAAGUGGGGUCUCUGACAGAGACAUGGAUUCUACCAGAAACAAUUAUAGCACAGAAACAAUUUCCUCUGCUUUUAACUUCUUCCACUACUGCCACUCCAGGUGCAGGUAUUCUUACAUCUAAGAGCUAGAAAUUCACCCUUCUAGUUAAUGUAAGCAACUUUAUACCCUUCUAUUACUGUCAUCUUUCCAGUUAACAUGAUAAUUGUUGUUUAUCGCCCACAAGGUUUGCUCAGGAUCUUCCUUGAUGAGCUGGAUGGACUGAUCUCUUCCCUCCCAGAUGACCGCAGCACACUUCUAAUUCUCGGGGACCU